CCGCGUCUCGGACGUUCCCGCAGCCAACGUUUAGGGCACCAGGCGCUGUGCUAGGCGCCGCGGUUAUAAAGAUAAUCGGUUUUGUUGAGCCCAGGAAUGUUCGGGUUAAUCUGUUUUCUCUAAUCAAACACUUAAUCAUCCAGUCUCCUCUCUGCGUUAUGGAUUCAUGAAUGUGAAGUGAGGAGAGUUGCUCAGUCAAGGUUUUUCACGUACUGCACAUCCAAGCUAGGUAAUGUCUCUGCAACUGCUGCUUCCUGAUGAUUAUAUUCAUCUGAAAUGACUAAGCUUGGUAAAUUAGGCUAAGUCAAGUCUGUGGAGCAGUCAAGGGACGAAUGAAGAAAAGAAUAAUGUAAUGGAGGCUACACCAGAGACAUGGGAAUCUAUCAGCAUGUGGCAAGGAAGGAAGAACAUAGCUAUGUCUUCUAUAUAAAGAGUUGCCUGCAUUCUUCUCAGAAAAAAAAAGACAAUGGAAAGGCAAUGAGUCAUGAGUCUUGGGUUCUAAGCCUGGUUCUACCAUUUGCUAGCUGUAUGAUAAGAAGCAUGUUUGUUAAACCUCUGAGCCUCAGCUUAUAUAUAUACGAAACAGGAAAAAUAGUAACAUAGCCUGCCAUCUUCACAGAUUUGUGAAAAGGUCUUUUAAAUAUCCAAAAAGCUUAGUAUGUAUAAGAAAGAUUAAAUUGGCUGGGCGCGGUGGCUCACGCCUGUAAUCCCAGCACUUUGGGAGGCCGAGGCGGGCGGAUCACAAG
rnacentral:lncRNA from 1 species